GCGAAUGCCGGGCCAGGAGCCGCGGAAAUAAGGAGGGUCCGGGGGUUAAUCGGAAUUACUGGGCGUAAAGCGUGCGCAGGCGGGUUGUUAAGAGAGAUGUGAAAGCCCUGGGCUCAACCUAGGAAUAGCAUUUCGAACUGGCGAACUAGAGUCUUGUAGAGGGGGGUAGAAUUCCAGGUGUAGCGGUGAAAUGCGUAGAGAUCUGGAGGAAUACCGGUGGCGAAGGCGGCCCCCUGGACAAAGACUGACGCUCAUGCACGAAAGCGUGGGGAGCAAACAGGAUUAGAUACCCUUGUAGUC
rnacentral:rRNA from 1 species